rnacentral:lncRNA from 1 species
CUCAUACAUAUUUAUUUUUACAUAUUAUCUAAAAGUGCUGUAUUUCUGUGUUUGAGAUUAUUAGAUCUCUCCUUGCUGGAGUUAUUCUUGAGUUCUUUGGAGCGCUCACACACAUAUUUUUCUUUUGUUCAAUUCAUUUUUUAGCCGCUCUUAUGUGUUGUGAAGCAGCCCUAAUAUAACUAAUUUUAUUAUAAUAUCCGUUUCUAUUCGUUUCUAUUCAGUAACCUAUUAUUCGUAGGUCAGAGAAAUUUUCCCACAAUUCUUAGCUUUCCUCCCUGUUCCCGCGAUGCUUCCUUUCACUUUUACUGAACGUCCCGUCACUUAGACAGAAUGCCGGCAAAACUGCAGAAUUGCAUCCUAACAGAUUGAGAACAGUUUCUCCAUUUGUGUUAGGAUGCAAUUUGGGACUUUGUUCGUAUCAGAAUUUCAUUCUAAUGAAUGAAACUCCGAUCUGAUUCAUGCCGCGGCUGCAUCUUGCAGCCGCUUAGUUGUUAACUCCCUAAUUCCCACGGUAUUACGGAGCUAUCUACCAAAAGGCUGAAAGACCUAAAUUGGUCUUUCAGACAAAUUUACUAAUACUAAGUAAAGAUUACUUAGUAUUAGUAAAUGCUGCCCCUACUCGCUAUACCGCGAGUAGGGGUAUAUCUAGUAAACAGUGAGCAGCCUAUGGCUGUGGCUAUGGCUGCUCACUGUUUAAAAAAAAAAACCCUAGUACCCCCGGCUCCCACUCGUGAGCGGCAGGUGGGGGCCCUAAAUGAGAAUGUGGGGGGACUUAAUGUCCUCCCCCCGGCCCCCACCCUUGAGCAGCAGGUGGGGGCCCUAAAUACAAUGAGGGGGGAACCUAUUGUCCUCCCCCCAGCCCCCACCCAUGAGCGGCAGGUGGAGGCCCUAAUUGAGAAUGAGGGGGGAGACCUAUUGUCCUCCCCCCUCGGCCCCCACCCCUGUGUGGCGGGUGGGGGCCCUAAAUUGGGAAAGUGGGGGGGCCUGUUGUCCUCCCAUUCUGCUUACAUUGACUGUACAUUACCCCUGCUUCCUCAUUGGUCUGAUGGCGUUUUCUGCCAGACCAAGGACUUUAGCAGUGUGAUAAGACUUGAUACUUACGAAAUCUAUGUGGGGCUAUAAACUGUAUUUACCCUAUAUUUCUCUGCUGCUAGUGUUCCAGCAAAGUAUGUAGCCUAUUCACACAAUGUACAGAAGAAGAAUAUGGAUUCACAUUCUUGUUGCAAAAAUAUUAUAUAUACUUUUCCUCCAGUUAUCUCUACUUUCAGAAGAAACAUCAUUUCAGCAAUAUUAAAAGUAGGAUUUGUAAGCCAUAACAUGUUUGCAUAACAUUUCAUUACGUUUCUUGCAUAAUAUUAAAAUGUUGCAAUCUAUUUUUAAUUCAUUUGAUAGUAAUGAAAAUCAUAGUUGCCAUUGUAGAAUAGUCCCUAAAAUCCUUAUGGAUCGUAUUACCAUUAAAGAACACCUUGGGAUGUGUAUUGCUUGGUCAUUGUCCAUAGUGGUGCAGGAUGUUCAAGGAUUGUAAACACAGCAUUGAUUGUCUCUAAUGUUUAAUGUUAAUGAAUGCAAUCUAGAUCAUAUACAAUUGCACAUGAGACUCCUGUCAAUAAAUUGCAGUUUCUGUGCCUCAUGUGAUUCACAGAACAGGUGUUUUGAAUUUACAGUUAUUGUGAUAUUGUCUCUAUCUUUUCCCUAAAAUCUCUGGUGGAUCUAAUAGAAUUGGGAUUACAUAGUAACAACCUUGAUGUUUGUUACUAAUGCAAGAUUCCAAUGCAAACAAAAAUUUGUUAUUUGCAUAACAUUUACAUAACUUGUACUCAAUCCAUUUUGGCUUUAAAAUACAUGUGUGGCACUACAGUGUAUAACAUGGUUAACUACGGUAAUGUACAAAUGUUUCAGGAAUAGGUUGCAUUUUACAUGUUAGGGUUAAAAAUUUACUGUGUAUAGUGCAUUAGGGGGAAAUCUUUUCCUAACCGUGUUUAACUGUGCAAAGCUCUCUCAGGGUCACUUACUAAAGUGAGAACACUACGUGAGCUCAAAAUGAAAUGAAUCUCAAAGUUAAAGGACCACUAAAGUCACACAUACCACUUCAUCUCAAUGGAUUUGUCUGGGUGCAGAGGUCAUGUUAUUUUAAUACUUAACCCCUUAAGGACUGAGCCAAAUGUACACGUUGUGAACAAAACAAAAUGUAAACAAAACCUGGCAUUUGCGCUACAUGUCUGUCCAACCGUAAUUCAGCUCUUUCAUAGUAAAUGGACCCAACCUUAUUAUAUAUCAUUUUAUUCAGGGGAAACAGGGCUUUCAUUU